GUGCUGUGAUGAAAAUGCCUUGUGUCGGAGACUUUUGGACUUUUGGUCUCUGAUGGUUUGCACAACCCUCUAAGAAGUUCUGAGCAC